rnacentral:tRNA from 1 species
GGGGGUGUAGCUCAGUGGUAGAACACAAGCCUAUCAUGCUUGAGGCUGUGAGUUCAAUCACCACUUACA